GUCUGUUCUAACAGUAAUUCCAAAAGGGAGGAGGGCAUAAAGAGUCCUGUCCAGCUCCCCAUUCCCAUCACAGCCUAAACUAGUGUUUUCAGGUUAACUUUGGAAUGCCCUUGGCCAAGAGGAGGGCAGGUACUCAGAUGGUUCGGGGGACUUAGAAUUUUAUUUUUGGUUUUUAUUUUUGGUACAAAAGUAAUAUGAACUUGCUAUGGGAUAUACACCUCUUUAACAACACAACUCAAAGAGACACUUCAGAAGGCACAGAAGCAAGAAGGCUGGGCUUUUAGGAUGAUACAAAGAAGUGUUAAGAAGUUAAUUAGCACCUGCAUUCUAAAGAGCAGUCAGUUACAAUUUAGGACAGAUGGGGGUCAAGCACUGAAAAACAUUCAGAAGAGCCUGGGAAAUUGUGAAAGAUAACAGCUUAAACUUUAUUUUUAAUCCUCUGGAAUACUACCGUGGACUCCAUGUAGAGAAAUAGAGCAUUACAAUGACCCACUAAGCAAGUGGUUUUCCAAGUAUGGUCUCCAGACCAGCAAUAUGAACAUCACCUGAAUUACAAACUCUGAGGGCAAGACCCAGAAGCUACACUUUAACUGAUCCUCCGUGUAAUUCAGACAUACACUCAAGUUGAAGAACCAGUGCAUUACAUGAGCAGGAACGGGACUAUUAUAUUGAAUCAACAGAGGUAUCAUCUAUAACCUAAAAAGAAGCCACGAAUAUAAUGUGUUAUAUAACGCUUUCACUUCUUUUUAUAACUUUACAACCUUCUGAGUGAGAUAUCCCUCUUUUAGCUAUGAAGAAGAGCCCCCGCAGUUGUGUUGACACAUCUCUGUUCUACUCACAUGGCUUGACUUUCGAGCAGGAGACACUUUGUGCCUACUUCUCAACAGUUCCAAAAAUUUUGAGAAAUGUCUGCAGGUGCCACAAAAAAGAAUGAGAUCUUGUCCUUUGUAGAAACAUGGAUGGAACUGGAGGCCAUUAUCCUUGGCAAACAAAUGUAAGAACAGUAAACCAAAUACCGCAUAUUCUCACUUAUAAGUGGGAGCUAGAUAAUGAGAGCACAUGAACACAUAGAUGGGACCAACACACACUGGGGCCUAUUGGAGGGUGAAGGGUGGGAAGAAGGAGAGGCUUGGGAAUAAGAAGUCAUGGAUACUAGGCUUAAUACCUGGGUGAUGAAAUAAUCUGUACAACCAACCCCCAUGCCACACAUUUACCUAUGUAACAAACCUGCACAUCUUGCACAUGUACCCCUGAACUUAAAAUAAAAUAAGCUGGAAAAAAG
rnacentral:lncRNA from 10 species